UACGUAGGGUUCGAGCGUUAAUCGGAAUUACUGGGCGUAAAGUGUGCGCAGGCGGCCGCGCAAGUCGAGUGUGAAAGCCCCGGGCUUAACUUGGGAAUUGCGCUCGAAACUACGUGGCUGGAGUAUGGCAGAGGAAGGUGGAAUUCCACGUGUAGCGGUGAAAUGCGUAGAGAUGUGGAGGAACACCGAUGGCGAAGGCAGCCUUCUGGGCCAAUACUGACGCUCAUGCACGAAAGCGUGGGGAGCAAACAGG
rnacentral:rRNA from 1 species